UGCCAGCAGCCGCGGUAAUACGGAGGGUGCAAGCGUUAAUCGGAAUUACUGGGCGUAAAGAGUACGUAGGCAGUUUGGUAAGUCAACUGUGAAAGCCCCGGGCUUAACCUGGGAACUGCAGCUGAUACUGCCAGACUAGAGUCUGUGAGAGGGUAGUGGAAUUCCUAGUGUAGCGGUGAAAUGCGUAGAUAUUAGGAGGAACAUCAGUGGCGAAGGCGACUACCUGGCACAAGACUGACGCUGAGGUACGAAAGCGUGGGGAGCAAACAGGAUUAGAUA
rnacentral:rRNA from 1 species